rnacentral:rRNA from 1 species
CGAGACUGCUGACGGGAAGCACAUUAGGGAAUCUUCGGCAAUGGACGAAAGUCUGACCGAGCAAGCCCGCGUGAGUGGAAGAAGGUUGGUUCGGAUCGUAAACUCUGGUGUUAGAGAAGACAAGGACGGUAUAGACUGAACGUCCCCUGACGGUAUGCUGAACCAGAAAGCCACGGCUGAAACUACGUGCCAGCAGCCGCGGUAAUACGUAGGUGGCAAGCGUUGUCCGGAUUUAUUGGGCGUAAAGCGAGCGCAGCAGGGUUCGUGAAGUCUGAUGUGAAAGCCCCCGGCUCAACCGGGGAGGGUCAUUGGAAACUGGGAGACUUGAGUGCAGAAGAGGAGAGUGGAAUUCCAUGUGUAGCGGUGAAAUGCGUAGAUAUAUGGAGGAACACCAGUGGCGAAGGCGGCUCUCUGGUCUGUAACUGACGCUGAGGCUCGAAAACGUGGGGAGCAAACAGGAUUAGAUACCCUGGUAGUCCACGCCGUAAACGAUGAGUGCUAAGUGUUGGAGGGUUUCCGCCCUUCAGUGCUGCAGCAACGCAGUAAGCACUGCCGCCUGGGGAGUACGACCCGCAA